rnacentral:rRNA from 1 species
CCUACGGGUGGCAGCAGUGAGGAAUAUUGGUCAAUGGACGAGAGUCUGAACCAGCCAAGUAGCGUGAAGGAUGACUGCCCUAUGGGUUGUAAACUUCUUUUAUAUGGGAAUAAAAUGUUCCACGUGUGGGAUUUUGUAUGUACCAUAUGAAUAAGGAUCGGCUAACUCCGUGCCAGCAGCCGCGGUAAUACGGAGGGUCCGGGCGUUAUCCGGAUUUAUUGGGUUUAAAGGGAGCGUAGGUGGAUUGUUAAGUCAGUUGUGAAAUUUCGCGGCUCAACCGUAAAAUUGCAGUUGAAACUGGCAGUCUUGAGUACAGUAGAGGUGGGCGGAAUUCGUGGUGUAGCGGUGAAAUGCUUAGAUAUCACGAAGAACUCCGAUUGCGAAGGCAGCUCACUGUACUGCAACUGACACUGAGGCUCGAAAGUGUGGGUAUCAAACAGGAUUAGAUACCCGAGUAGUC